rnacentral:rRNA from 1 species
ACGCUAGCGGGAGGCCUAACACAUGCAAGCCGAGCGGUAUUUGUUCUUCGGAACAGAGAGAGCGGCGUACGGGUGCGGAACACGUGUGCAACCUGCCUUUAUCUGGGGGAUAGCCUUUCGAAAGGAAGAUUAAUACCCCAUAAUAUAUUUUACGGCAUCGUGGAAUAUUGAAAACUCCGGUGGAUAGAGAUGGGCACGCGCAAGAUUAGAUAGUUGGUGAGGUAACGGCUCACCAAGUCAGUGAUCUUUAGGGGGCCUGAGAGGGUGAUCCCCCACACUGGUACUGAGACACGGACCAGACUCCUACGGGAGGCAGCAGUGAGGAAUAUUGGACAAUGGGUGCAAGCCUGAUCCAGCCAUCCCGCGUGAAGGACUAAGGCCCUAUGGGUUGUAAACUUCUUUUAUACUGGGAUAAACCUACUUACGUGUAAGUAGCUGAAGGUACAGUAUGAAUAAGCACCGGCUAACUCCGUGCCAGCAGCCGCGGUAAUACGGAGGGUGCAAGCGUUAUCCGGAUUUAUUGGGUUUAAAGGGUCCGUAGGCGGAUCUGUAAGUCAGUGGUGAAAUCUCAUAGCUUAACUAUGAAACUGCCAUUGAUACUGCAGGUCUUGAGUGAGAUUGAGGUAGCUGGAAUAAGUAGUGUAGCGGUGAAAUGCAUAGAUAUUACUUAGAACACCAAUUGCGAAGGCAGGUUACCAAGUCUUAACUGACGCUGAGGGACGAAAGCGUGGGAGCAAAC